CCUACGGGAGGCAGCAGUGAGGAAUAUUGGUCAAUGGGCUUACGCCUGAACCAGCCAAGUCGCGUGAGGGAAGACUGCCCUAUGGGUUGUAAACCUCUUUUGUCAGGGAGCAAUUGGCGCUACGUGUAGCGUUAUCGAGAGUACCUGAAGAAAAAGCAUCGGCUAACUCCGUGCCAGCAGCCGCGGUAAUACGUAGGGGGCAAGCGUUAUCCGGAUUUACUGGGUGUAAAGGGAGCGUAGACGGCGACGCAAGUCUGAAGUGAAAUGCCAGUGCUCAACACUGGAACUGCUUUGGAAACUGUGUAGCUAGAGUGCAGGAGAGGUAAGUGGAAUUCCUAGUGUAGCGGUGAAAUGCGUAGAUAUUAGGAGGAACACCAGUGGCGAAGGCGGCUUACUGGACUGUAACUGACGUUGAGGCUCGAAGGCGUGGGGAGCAAACAGGAUUAGAUACCCCAGUAGUC
rnacentral:rRNA from 1 species